rnacentral:lncRNA from 1 species
AUGAGUUAAAGCGAACAUGACAGAGUCACUAUUUUGAUUUUGUGGUUACUUGAUUGCAGGUUGAUGGUGCAUGAGGAAGAUGAUGGUGUUUCAGUACGAUUGGGUUCUAAUGUAAAGAUGUUGGAAUGAAAGCUAUUGCUGAAUUUAGGAUCUGAGUGAUGGACUGAGAAGAAGAUUUCUAGGUCUGGGUGGUGCUUUGACUAUAAUGGAAGAUGACUUCUUUUUUUUUUUAAUUCUUAAUCAAAAUGUUAAAAUGUUUUUAAAUUCCACGUAUAC